AUCCUUUCCCCGUUCAUAAGCAUGAUGAUUGGGUACUCUCGCACUUGUGUGACAUGUGCCUCCUUCUGAACCUAGUUAUGACAUGGGCACAUUAUCCAUCUGACA